rnacentral:rRNA from 1 species
UGCCAGCAGCCGCGGUAAUACGUAGGGAGCAAGCGUUGUCCGGAAUCAUUGGGCGUAAAGGGCGCGUAGGCGGUAUGUUAAGUCAAAUGUGAAAUGCACCAGCUUAACUGGUGAGCUGCGUUUGAAACUGGCAGACUAGAGAUCAGGAGAGGAAAGUGGAAUUCCUAGUGUAGCGGUGAAAUGCGUAGAUAUUAGGAAGAACAUCUAUGGCGAAGGCAGCUUUCUGGCCUGACACUGACGCUGAGGCGCGAAAGCGUGGGGAGCAAACAGGAUUAGAUACCCUGGUAGUCCACGCCGUAAACGAUGGAUACUAGGUGUAGGGGGUUCGAUUCCCUCUGUGCCGCAGUUAACGCAAUAAGUAUCCCGCCUGGGGAGUACGGUCGCAAGAUUGAAACUCAAAGGAAUUGACGGGGGCCCGCACAAGC